rnacentral:tRNA from 1 species
UCCCUGGUGGCUCAGCAGUAAAGAAACUGCCUGUCAUGCAGGAGACACAGGUUCAAUCCCUGAUCGGGAAG